rnacentral:rRNA from 1 species
UACGGAGGGUGCAAGCGUUAUCCGGAUUUACUGGGUUUAAAGGGUGCGCAGGCGGAUAUGUAAGUCAGUGGCGAAAUCUCUGGGCUUAACCCGGAAAUUGCCAUUGAUACUAUCUAUCUUGAAUGCUGUGGAGGUAAGCGGAAUAUGUCAUGUAGCGGUGAAAUGCUUAGAUAUGACAUAGAACACCUAUUGCGAAGGCAGCUUACUACGCAGAUAUUGACGCUCAUGCACGAAAGCGUGGGGAUCAAACAGG